rnacentral:rRNA from 1 species
AUUCAACGCUGGCGGCAGGCCUAACACAUGCAAGUCGAGCGAACGGCGGACAGUUAGGUAAUGGCUGUGCAACGGCCUGAGGUAGGGGGAUCACUACUGGAAACGGUAGCUAAUACCGCAUGACAUCAGAUGUGCCCAGAUGGGAUUAGCUAGUGGGUGGGGUAAUGGCUCACCUAGGCGACGAUCCCUAGAUGGUCUGAGAGGAUGACCAGCCACACUGGAACUGAGACACGGUCAAGACUCCUACGGGAGGCAGCAGUGGGGAAUAUUGCACAAUGGGCGCAAGCCUGAUGCAGGCAUGCCGCGUGUAUGAAGAAGGCCUUCGGGUUGUAAAGUACUUGCAGUCGGGAGGCGUUACCGACAGAAGAAGCACCGGCUAACUCCGUGCCAGCAGCCGCGGUAAUUC